GUACAGACCGAUUUACAAGGUGAAACCGCGAAUGGCUCAUUAAAUCAGUUAUGGUUCAUUAGAUCUUACCAAGUUACUUGGAUAACUGUGGUAAUUCUAGAGCUAAUACAUGCAACCAAGCUCCGACCGCAAGGGAAGAGCGCUUUUAUUAGAUCAAAACCAAUAGGAUUUCGGUCCUUUCCAUUUGUGAUGACUCUGAAUAACUUUUUGCUGAGCGCAUGGUCUUCGAACCGGCGCCAUAUCUUUCAAGUGUCUGCCUUAUCAGCUUUCGAUUGUAGGUUAUGCGCCUACAAUGGCUAUAACGGGUAACGGGGAAUCAGGGUUCGAUUCCGGAGAGGGAGCCUGAGAAACGGCUACCACAUCUAAGGAAGGCAGCAGGCACGCAAAUUACCCACUCCCGGCUCGGGGAGGUAGUGACGAAAAAUAACGAUGCGGGACUCUUCUGAGGCUUCGCAAUCGGAAUGAAUUGAUUUUAAAUCCUUUGAUCAGGAUCUAUUGGAGGGCAAGUCUGGUGCCAGCAGCCGCGGUAAUUCCAGCUCCAAUAGCGUAUAUUAAAGUUGUUGCGGUUAAAAAGCUCGUAGUUGGAUCUCAGUUCCAGAAGGACGGUUCGCCUCUGGCGACUUACUGUCCUUCUGAACAGGUCGUCAGCUCACUCGGGGUGCUCUUUACCGAGUGUCCUGCGUGGCUGGCAUGUUUACUUUGAAAAAAUUAGAGUGCUCAAAGCAGGCUAUUGCCUGAAUAGUUGUGCAUGGAAUAAUGGAAUAGGACCUCGGUUCUAUUUUGUUGGUUUUCGGAACCCGAGGUAAUGAUUAAUAGAGACGGACGGGGGCAUUCGUAUUGCGACGCUAGAGG
rnacentral:rRNA from 1 species